UCUAAAUUAUAAAAUUAGAAUUAAAAAUCUUUAUUAUAACACCCUGGUACAACUAUCGACUAAUUAAUGCAGUAAUGAACUAUUAGUGUGAGUAAUUGAGAGAUUAGUGGUUCUAGUUUCUAUAAUUUGGCAUUUAGGGCAUUAUUCUCUUCUCACCUCUUAAAUAGAGUUAGGGAUUUUGGAGUGUUAUUCUUCCUCUCAUUCUUUCCUUGCUAACUCAAAAUUGUGAGAGAAGGAAAGGUGGAAACGUGAAAACAAGGAAGUGGAAGGAAACCAACACCAACUUCAUCAUCUUGCAUGCUACAAACCUCAACUGCAUCUUGAUUUUUCUCAUCAUCCCAUUUUGAAUCAACAUCAUCUUUCUCAUCCAGGUUGUUCAAGAAAGGACAAAGGCAUGGGUAAGAUGUCUUAGUCGGCUUGGAGAUGUUUUCCGUGGAAUAUUUUGAACUCCUUAGCUUUGCUCUAAUGGAUUUUAUGUACUAGUACUCUUGAUGUUGUAUUUUGGGCCAUGAUACAUUCGGAUUUUGUUCCUUGUACUAAUACUUAUUUUGAUUAUGCUGCUUAUGUAUGGUUUUGAUGUACCAUAUUUAUAACACCAUUAUGUAUUAUUAUAGACAUAUAUGUAUGGGGUGUUACAGUUAGUAUCAGAGCAGAUCGAUUCUCAACUUAGCCAUGAAUCAUCAUAAGCAAAUUUAAUUCUUCCUCAUAUGUGUAAUUGUCAGCAUGAUUACUUAAGUCUUACUUAUGGCAUUAAGCCUGAUAACCUAAUUCCUUGUGUAGGACAAACAAGAAAAUGGUUGAUGAACGCAGAGGUCCCAUAAGGCCUAGGAUCAGGAACAUGGAAUAUGGGACUGGAACUAGGAAUGCGGAGGUAUCGUAGCCUUAAAUACUGCAACACAUGCAACAAUAAAGCCAAUUGAUGAUGUAGAUGAUGCAGGAUAGGCAUGGACAACCUCAACCCCCUCAUGUUUCGCAAAAUGAGGAAGGGCCUGACUUCCGUGCAUUCUUCAGAAUGAAACCAUCCGAGUUUCUUGGUGUCCUAGAACCAGUAUCGACUCAUGAUUGGUGGACUGGUAUAGAAAGUGUUUCUGGCCAUCUGUUGUCCUAAAGAGGUGAAAGUAAUCUUUGCGGCCUAUAUGAUUAAAGGACCAACUAGUAGGUGGUGGGAUAUUGCAUCUGCUUAUCAGACUUCUCAGGUGAUUCCAUGGGAUUGGUAGCAUUUCAAGGCAAAUUUCUUGGAGAAGUAUUAUUCUAACAUACUGCAUCCGCAGAAGGAGCAUAAGUUUCAAUAAGUUAAGUAAAUAAACAUGUAUGUAUCAAAAUAUGCGGAGAAAUUUGAGGACAUUGCUAUUUAUUCCAGACAGAUAGUGUAUGCACCAUAUGAGCUUUGGAAGAUAGAUCAGUUCUUCUUUAGCUUUGUUGGUUCUAAGUGUUGGCAGCAAUUUUGGUAAAACAAAGAAUGUUCACAAGAUGUUGUGUGUGAUGUCUUAACAUAAGAUAUCUAUGUACCUGCUGGAGUUUAAAUGGAAAACAUAAUUAUGCAGGAUUGUUUCAGGAUGUCAUACACGAUGUCAUGACAUCUGAUAUUAUGUACCUGCUGGAAAUUAUAAAAGAAAUUAUGGAAUUA